rnacentral:tRNA from 1 species
UACGUAGCUCAAUAGAAGAGCACUCGCUUUCGGAGCGGGAAGUUGCCGGUGCGAAUCCGGUCGUAA